rnacentral:sRNA from 2 species
UAUUCUGCCCUACAGGGAAAGAUGAGAAGCUUCGACUAAGGUUCGACUAAGGUUCGACUCGAGCGAAGCGAGAGAACGUUGCCGCAGGCAAUGGCCCGAAGGCGAGGCGCUUUAGCGCCGAGUAAUCCUUCCCCCACCACUG